UGUCUCCAGGUGUAGAUCGUCUGGACAGAGACCUGACUAUAGGCCAAAUGCAAGGCAAAUUCAUGAUGCAGGUGCUGCCCCCUAGUGGCCACGCAGUGCACGAGGACACACCAGACAAAGUUGCAGAUGCUCUGGCCAGCUUUCUGUUCAGACACAAGUUUGCUGAGGCCAGCAGAGGUCAGCGCACGAGCUCCUCCUACCCUUUCACGCGGUGAAGUCAGCAGGCCAACAGAGUACAUCCAGUCUUUCUGUGUCCUGAACAACAAAUAUUUCAAUCCUUUUCAUAUUUUACUUUCCAACAGUUUAUAGUGUUUUAGUAUUAACUUUGGUUACAUCAUUUUAGCAUCUUAGUCACUUAGAGUUCAAUCUUUUACAGUCGUAGUGUAGUUCAGCAAAUAUAUUGCAGUGUUUUUAAUAAGGUACAAGCCCCAGUAGUACGGGCAGCGGGAUGAUGUUAUGUAUGUAGUAAAAUGUGUCGAGUUGGACUGUGACUUCAAACACGUGUUGGGUAAACAGUUCUCAUGGGAGAGGAAUGUGACGAUCACUAACACACACACACACACACACACACACACACACACACACACACACACACACACACACACACACACACUAAGGAAGGCAGGCAUGCACACACACACUAAGGAAAGUAGGCAUACACACACACACACACACACACUAAGGAAGGCAGGCAUGCACACACACACACACACACACACACACACACACACACACACACACACACACACACACACACACACACUAAGGAAAGCAGGCAUGCACACACACACACACACUAAGGAAAGCAGGCACGCACACACACACACACACACACUAAGUAGGCAUACACACACACACUAAGGAAAGUAGGCAUACACACACACACUAAGUAGGCAUACACACACACACACACUAAGGAAAGCAGGCAUGCGCACACACACACACACUAAGGAAGGCAGGCAUGCGCGCACACACACACACACACACACACACACUAAGGAAAGCAGGCAUGCACACACACACACACACUAAGGAAAGCAGGCAUGCACACACACACUAAGGAAAGCAGGAACACAUACACACACACUAAGGAAGGCAGGCAUGCGCGCACACACACACACACACACACACACUAAGGAAAGCAGGCAUGCACACACACACUAAGGAAAGCAGGAACACAUACACACACACUAAGGAAGGCAGGCAUGCGCGCGCACACACACACACACACACACACUAAGGAAAGCAGGCAUGCACACACACACUAAGGAAAGCAGGAACACAUACACACACACUAAGGAAGGCAGGCAUGCGCGCGCACACACACACACACACACACACACACUAAGGAAAGCAGGCAUGCACACACACACUAAGGAAAGCAGGAACACAUACACACACACUAAGGAAGGCAGGCAUGCGCGCGCACACACACACACACACACACACUAAGGAAAGCAGGCAUACACACACACACACACUAAGGAAAGCAGGCAUACACACACACACACUAAGGAAAGCAGGCAUACACACACACACACACACACACACACUAAGGAAAGUAGGCAUGCGCGCACACACACACACACACACACACUAAGGAAGGCAGGCAUACGCACACACACACAC